CAGCACCCCAGCUCUGGGGAGGAGGGAGGUCAUCCUCCAGAGCUGCCUAAUGAGUGUCUGUAAUGUACCUUUCUCUCCAAGGCCCUCUGCAGGCAUCUCUCCACCUUAGCUUUGAGUUUGUCAAAGGGAUAGUUGUCCCCAGGGACAAUUUCUGAGUCAGCUGGCUUUUCUCUCUGAUUUCUUCCUACCACCCUUCCAGGAUCCCAGCAUCCUCACCUGGCCCUCUGCUGAUCUGUCCCUCCCCACCACCAGAGUUCUCAGGAGUUCCCUCAGUCCUCCGUCUCCUCCAGUUGUGCUGAGUCAGGAGGAAAGAAAAUGUAAAAUCCAGCUGACCUUCACUGGAGUCUGAGCCCCAUGAAGGCAAGGACUGGUACCAGGACCGAGUGGAUUAAUGGAUGAGAAAUGUACAAGACGAAGUAUAAACUUGUAUGGCUACAGUGAAUCCUUUCACUGAUCGGACCAUCACCUGAUCAGGACACUCACAUUUGGGACCCCCACUGCCUCACAUUCAGAGGCCCUCAUUCAAUCGGGAAAGACACCACAGUUUGGAAGACCCCAUGGAAUGCUUGGAAAGGGCCUGCCCUCACCGUGAGCAUGAGCCAGUCCUCUUGCCGGAGGAAGGAUUUCCAAGGUGAAUCUGGCAAGACUGUGCCUUCCACCUCCCUGUGUGGCUGCCUCUCCCAACCCCACGUCGGGCCUCAGACUUCCCUCCAGUUCCGGGAUUCUUCUCCAUAUAAAACUCCACCCCUUUCGUU